rnacentral:rRNA from 1 species
GAUGAACGCUGGCGGCGUGCCUAAUACAUGCAAGUCGAGCGAACAGACGAGGAGCUUGCUCCUCUGACGUUAGCGGCGGACGGGUGAGUAACACGUGGAUAACCUACCUAUAAGACUGGGAUAACUUCGGGAAACCGGAGCUAAUACCGGAUAAUAUAUUGAACCGCAUGGUUCAAUAGUGAAAGACGGUUUUGCUGUCACUUAUAGAUGGAUCCGCGCCGCAUUAGCUAGUUGGUAAGGUAACGGCUUACCAAGGCUACGAUGCGUAGCCGACCUGAGAGGGUGAUCGGCCACACUGGAACUGAGACACGGUCCAGACUCCUACGGGAGGCAGCAGUAGGGAAUCUUACGCAAUGGGCGAAAGCCUGACGGAGCAACGCCGCGUGAGUGAUGAAGGUCUUCGGAUCGUAAAACUCUGUUAGUAGGGAAGAACAAAUGUGUAAGUAACUAUGCACGUCUUGACGGUACCUAAUCAGAAAGCCACGGCUAACUACGUG